rnacentral:rRNA from 1 species
UACGGAGGGUGCAAGCGUUAUCCGGAUUCACUGGGUUUAAAGGGUGCGUAGGUGGGUUGGUAAGUCAGUGGUGAAAUCUCCGUGCUUAACAUGGAAACUGCCAUUGAUACUACUGAUCUUGAAUUUUCAGGAGGUAAGCGGAAUAUGUCAUGUAGCGGUGAAAUGCUUAGAUAUGACAUAGAACACCAAAUUGCGAAGGCAGCUUACUACAGGAAUAUUGACACUGAUGCACAAAGCGUGGGGAUCAAACAGG